UUAAAAUAAUUGAAUGCUGUGAUAGCAUACAUACUGGCAUGACUUUUUGAGCAGCCAUUCAUAACCUAUUUGUCACAAAGCAUAAUUUCAUGAUAGAACUCUGAUUCACAUGCGGUUUUAUUUUUCCAGCAAUAAAACAUUUGAAUAACUCCUUCACGAAGGCUGGCUACAUUUUCACAAUAUCCAAUCCCAAACUAGAGCUUCAGGAAAAGGGAUCCAGGAAAUGAUUAUUCCACCAAGUAAAAUUUUGCUGAGAGUAUAUGUCCAGAAUGGGCAUUGAACUUUGUCAAGUGGUUUUUCUGUAUCAACUGAUAUCAUCAUGUGGUUUUCCUUUUUUGAGGUCUGGCACUGUGCAAUUUCUGGCUCUUCCCAACGUCAAAAUGACUAUGAAAGGUAAACAUUUUGUAUGGAUUGAGGACAUCAAGGCAACUAUGCAACUAAAGACACUCUCGAGAGUCUUCCACAACAUCUUUAGAAGGUAGAAAGAACUGUGGAAUAAGUGCAUUUUUGACUGUAGGGCAAGUAUUUUGAGGGAGAUUAUUGAA